UUAGCCGUAGCGGUAAACGCGCAGUUAAUCAGCAAGACCAAGCUGAGGGUCGUGGGUUCAAAUCCCACCGGUCAAG
rfam:Aedes aegypti strain Liverpool supercont1.1092 genomic scaffold, whole genome shotgun sequence.